rnacentral:rRNA from 1 species
AACGAACGCUGGCGGCAUGCCUAACACAUGCAAGUCGAACGAGACCUUCGGGUCUAGUGGCGCACGUGUGCGUAACGCGUGGGAACCUGCCCUUAGGUUCUGAAUAACUCCCCGAAAGGGGUGCCAAUACCGGAUAAUGUCUUCGGACCAAAGAUUUAUCGCCUUUGGAUGGGCCCGCGUUGGAUUAGCUAGUUGGUAGGGUAAAAGCCUACCAAGGCGACGAUCCAUAGCUGGUCUGAGAGGAUGAUCAGCCACACUGGGACUGAGACACGGCCCAGACUCCUACGGGAGGCAGCAGUGGGGAAUAUUGGACAAUGGGCGAAAGCCUGAUCCAGCAAUGCCGCGUGAGUGAUGAAGGCCUUAGGGUUGUAAAGCUCUUUUACCCGGGAUGAUAAUGACAGUACCGGGAGAAUAAGCUCCGGCUAACUCCGUG